rnacentral:rRNA from 1 species
CACGUAGUUAGCCGGUCCUUAUUCACCACCUACCGUCAACCCCCAGAAAACCAGGGGCCUUCGUGAGUGGUAAAAGAGGUUUACAGCCCGAAGGCCUUCAUCCCCCACGCGGCGUCGCUGCGUCAGGCUUCCGCCCAUUGCGCAAUAUUCCCCACUGCUGCCUCCCGCAGGAGUCUGGGCCGUGUCUCAGUCCCAGUGUGGCCGGUCGCCCUCUCAGGCCGGCUACCCGUCAUCGCCUUGGUAGGCCGUUACCCCACCAACAAGCUGAUAGGCCGCGAGCCCAUCCCCUGACCGGAAAAAACCACCUUUUCCGACCCCCGACACCCAUGCGGCACGAGGUCAUAUCCGGUAUUAGACCCAGUUUCCCAGGCUUAUCCCAGAGUCAGGGGCAGGUUACUCACGUGUUACUCACCCGUUCGCCGCUCGUGUACCCCCGAAGGGGCCUUACCGCUCGACUUGCAUGUGUUAAGCACGCCGCCAGCGUCGUCCGUCGUGCCGACGACGUCGAAACUACCU